AAACUCACUGUGUGACUCAUAGC
rnacentral:piRNA from 1 species